AUGCAUGUAGUGAGCACAAAGUGAACUAUUCUUUCGCCUUUUACUAAAGAAUACCGUGUGCUUGCUGCACAUAAUGGCAUACACAUAUUUUUAGAGGGUUUCAAUUCCCACUAUAGUAU